AAAAAUGGAAAAAGAAAGAUGACUGCAUAUUCAGACAUUAUGCCAGAAUUAGAGGCGUAUCCUUCAAAAGAUCUUGCUAAGGCUAUGCUAAAUGCUUUGAAUACUUCACAAUUCUGUCAAAAUUUUGAAGGUUUAGAAGAAUGGAUAAUUCCUGCAGCUUCGUUAUUUAUUCUAUUAACUCACAUCAUAGAGGGCGCCACUCCCUUUCCAGAGACAAUGAAGGAAUUUGAUAGAGCAAUUAGAUACAAUAGAAUAAACACAAAAAACAAAAUUAAGGAUAUUAAAAAAAAGACUGGUCGUAUUCCUAUGGCGGAUAAAAUAGUCAGGAGUAAAUUGAGAGACGUUGCUGAAGGAAAAGUCUUAUUCAAAGACGCGUUCAGUGAAAAGAAUUUUGUCAUAAGAGGUAAAGACGGGACAUCGAAGGGUCGCACAUGGGUGCUUGAGGAUCAAGCGGGUGUUUUAACAGGAAAUUUGAGCGAUAGUGAGGAUAAUUUGAGUGACAGUGAGGAUAAUUUGAGCGACAGUGAGGAUAAUUUGAGC
rnacentral:lncRNA from 1 species